rnacentral:rRNA from 1 species
UACGAAGGGGGCUAGCGUUGCUCGGAAUUACUGGGCGUAAAGCGCACGUAGGCGGAUUGUUAAGUCGGGGGUGAAAUCCUGGAGCUCCAACUCCAGAACUGCCUUCGAUACUGGCGAUCUCGAGUUCGGGAGAGGUGAGUGGAACUGCGGAGUGUAGAGGUGAAAUUCGGUAGAUAAUUCGCAAGAACACCAGUGGCGAAGGCGGCUCACUGGCCCGAUACUGACGCUCGAGGUGCGAAAGCGUUGGGGAGCAA